GGAAAGUUGUUUUUUUUUUUUUUUCCCCUUUUUUAUGCUCUGUGUGUUAUGUGUCAAGGUUUUAGAUGUGAGUCCUUCAAAAUUGUCAGACUUCAUUUCCCUCCAGCUGUUUUGGAGCUGAUUUUCCAACUUCUUCCACAAAAAACAACAUUUCUGGACAGGGCAGUGUGGAGAAAUCCUAAGAGAAAUAGCAUAAGAGCAUUUUUGGAAUAUAUCCCGGAAAAGAUAACUUUCUACACAUCUGUAGAGAUUCGCCUGGUUAAGACUUGGAGGACAUAAGCAUAACAGGCUAAAGGAAUCCAGUCCCUGUGCGUGUGCUUCCUGUUCCUGGGAGGAACUGUGCUCAGAAAGCAGGUUUGUGUAAGUCAGAAAAGGUGGAAGGUUUGGGGGAGGGGUGGGGCGUGUGUGGGGGGGUGUCUUUUAUAAAACCAAAACCAGGUAAGAGAACAAUGCAGGAAAAUGGUCUCAAACAAUUUACUUAGAUCCUACGGGA
rnacentral:lncRNA from 1 species